GACGAACGCUGGCGGCGUGCUUAACACAUGCAAGUCGAACGGAAAGGCCCUGCUUUUGUGGGGUGCUCGAGUGGCGAACGGGUGAGUAACACGUGAGUAACCUGCCCUUGACUUUGGGAUAACUUCAGGAAACUGGGGCUAAUACCGGAUAGGAGCUCCUGCUGCAUGGUGGGGGUUGGAAAGUUUCGGCGGUUGGGGAUGGACUCGCGGCUUAUCAGCUUGUUGGUGGGGUAGUGGCUUACCAAGGCUUUGACGGGUAGCCGGCCUGAGAGGGUGACCGGCCACAUUGGGACUGAGAUACGGCCCAGACUCAUACGGGAGGAAGCAGUGGGGAAUAUUGCACAAUGGGCGGAAGCCUGAUGCAGCAACGCAGCGUGCGGGAUGACGGCCUUCGGGUUGUAAACCGCUUUCGCCUGUGACGAAGCGUGAGUGACGGUAAUGGGUAAAGAAGCACCGGCUAACUACGUG
rnacentral:rRNA from 1 species